rnacentral:lncRNA from 1 species
CCGAGAAAGGGAUAUUUAUAACCCUGUCCUCCUUUACUGACUGUCCUCCAUCAUAUCGUAUCUUCUACUUCUCUGAUCAAGCAGUCUCCUCCAUCUGUCAAAGAUGCCUGUAGGCUGAGCUCCUGUCCAAAUCUUAUCCAAUAUUUGUAGACCAUCAUUCCUCCUGAAUCAGUCAGGAAAGACAUCUGAGAAUUAUUCUAUUCAAAUCAAAUCCCAUCCUGUA